rnacentral:rRNA from 1 species
UACGGGGGGGGGCAAGCGUUGUUCGGAAUUACUGGGCGUAAAGGGCUCGUAGGCGGCCAACUAAGUCAGACGUGAAAUCCCUCAGCUUAACUGGGGAACUGCGUCUGAUACUGGAUGGCUUGAGAUUGGGAGAGGGAUGCGGAAUUCCAGGUGUAGCGGUGAAAUGCGUAGAUAUCUGGAGGAACACCGGUGGCGAAGGCGGCAUCCUGGACCAACACUGACGCUGAGGAGCGAAAGCCAGGGGAGCAAACGGG